CCUCCUUGGGGAAUCCCGCGAGUUGCCAAACAGCACUCGCAUAUAUAGGCCUCGAGUUGGAGCUCUGAGUCAGUUUCUUCGUGUUGCUGAUACUCCUUGUGCAUCGCCAAGACAACGAUGAACCGCGGCGUUCUCCUUCUCCUGCUGGUGGCACUGGCCCUCUCAGCCGUGGCACUGGCUAGCCCUCUGCCCGACGCCAGUGCCAAGGCUCACUGGCCAUUUUAUGGAGGCUAUGGACACGGAUAUGGAUAUGGACAUGGAUACGGCUACCGCCCCUUCACCAUCUACCACCACUGGUAAUCCGUUGUUGAUGGCGGGACGUCGCCUUCAGAAACUCCUUCUCCCUUUCCUUCGCAACUGGACGGACAUCUCGACCAAGGGAACCGGACGCCUAGUGUUAACUUUCUGAGAAUUUUUACAUCCUUCCGUCUGGAGAGUUCAUUCGGAAGAAAGAAAAUUUAUCAAACAUGUUUUCUGUCGUAAAUUUCGUGUUUGUAGAGUCAAAUUUUGUUUCCAGUCUGUCUGAUAAAUUGGAAGUGAUAU
rnacentral:lncRNA from 1 species